UAAAGCUACAAAGAGCUUACGGUGAAUGCCUUGGUACUGACAGCCGAUGAAGGACGUGUAAAGCUGCGAUAAGCCACGGGGAGGUGCUAAAAUCCCUUGAUCCGUGGAAUUCCGAAUGGGGAAACCCUCUAAGGUUUGUACCUUAGAACUUCCGAAUGAAUCAAUAGUUCGGAUAGAGGAAAGCCUGUGAACUGAAACAUCUUAGUAACAGGACGAAAAGAAAAUAAACUAAUGAUUCCCAAAGUAGCGGCGAGCGAAAUGGGAAGAGCCUAAACUUUGUGUACGUGAUAGACUACAAUCGUUGUGCACAGAGGGUUGUGGGAGCUUCUGAAUAAGUUGUAGAUUAUUCAAAGAGUUACAAAGUUACUUGUUAGUUGAAUACAACUGGAAAGUUGAGCCAUAGACGGUGAUAGCCCGGUAAACGAAAACAAUUGACCUCUUGAAGAUUUCCCGAGUAAGGCGGGGCACGUGAAACCUUGUCUGAAUCCACCGGGACCAUCCGGUAAGGCUAAAUACUAGUCAGUAACCGAUAGUGAACGAGUACAGUGAUGGAAAGGCGAAAAGAACAGUGAGAAGCUGAGUGAAAUAGAACCUGAAACCGUUUGCUUACAAUCAGUCAGAGCACUAUUAAUAGUGUGAUGGCGUGCCUGUUGAAGAAUGAGCCGGCGAGUUAUCUUAUUUAGCGAGGUUAAGGGGUUUAUACCCGGAGCCAUAGCGAAAGCGAGUCUGAAUAGGGCGUUAAGUUAAAUGAGAUAGACCCGAACCUUGGUGAUCUAACCAUGACCAGAUUGAAACGUAGGUAACACUACGCGGAGGAUCGAACCGACUGAUGUUGAAAAAUCAGCGGAUGAGUUGUGGUUAGGGGUGAAAUGCCAAUCGAGCCAAGAGCUAGCUGGUUCUCCCCGAAAUGCGUUUAGGCACAGCGUCAGAUUUAUCUUGCAGGAGGUAGAGCACUAGUUUGGUGCGGGCCGAGGAACUCGGUACCAAAUCAUGUUAAACUCCGAAUGCCUGCAAUGUUACUGUCUGGCAGUGAGGCUAUGAGUGAUAAGAUCCAUGGCCAAGAGGGAAACAGCCCAGAACGCCAGUUAAGGUCCCUAAUAUAUGCUAAGUGAUUAAGGAGGUAGAAUUACUCUGACAACCAGGAGGUUGGCUUAGAAGCAGCCAUUCCUUGAAAGAGUGCGUAAUAGCUCACUGGUCAAGUGAUUCCGCGCCGAAAAUAUAGCGGGGCUAAGCAUAUAACCGAAACUGCGUCAUUAAGUUUACUUAAUGGGUAGGGGAGCGUUCUAUUGUAGGUCGAAGCUAGAUCGAAAGGACUAGUGGACGAAGUAGAAGUGAGAAUGUCGGCAUAAGUAGCGAAAACAUUGGUGAGAAUCCAAUGCACCGAAAACCUAAGGUUUCCCACGGCAGGCUCGUCCGCGUGGGGUUAGUCGGAACCUAAGCUCAGGCUGAAAAGCGUAGGCGAUGGACAUCAGGUUGAUAUUCCUGAACUGAUUGUCAGUCGUUAUCAGAAGCGGAGGGACGCAGGAGGAUAGGCAUGCACUCGAUCGGUUGUGAGUGUUUAAGCGUGUAGGCAGACCGGAUAGGAAAAUCCGUUCGGUCGUUAAACUGAGGCGUUAUGAGGAGGGUCUACGGACCCGAAGAUGUUGAUUCCACACUGCCAAGAAAAGCUUCGCUCUCGAGAAUAAUAAUCGUCCGUACCGUAAACCGCCACAGGUAGGUUGGUAGAAAAUACCAAGGUGCGCGAGUUAACUCUCUCUAAGGAACUCGGCAAAAUGGCCUCGUAACUUCGGGAGAAGAGGUACCCUGGUAGCGUGUAGCGAUUUACUCGUGAAGCGUGAUAGGGUCGCAGCGAAUCGAUCCAGGCGACUGUUUACCAAAAACACAGGUCUCUGCUAAGUCGUAAGACGAUGUAUAGGGGCUGACGCCUGCCCGGUGUCGGAAGGUUACGCGGAAGGGUUAGUCGUAAGACGAAGCUCCGAAGCUAAGCCCCGAUGAACGGCGGCCGUAACUAUAACGGUCCUAAGGUAGCGAAAUUCCUUGUCAGGUA
rnacentral:rRNA from 1 species